CAGUUAAUAUGUUCUUUCCUUUUUUAAAAAAUUAUUUAUUUAUUUGGAUGUGUGGGGUGUUAGUUGCAGCAUGCGGGAUCUUUCAUUUUGGUGCCUGGACUCUGGUUGAGGUGCUUGGGCUCAGUAGUUGUGGCACACCAGCUUAGUUGUCCUGUGGCAAGUGGGAUCUUAUUUCCCCAACCAGGAAUCGAACCUGUGUGCGCUGGAAUGCAAGGCAGAUUUUUAACCACUGGGCCACCAGGCGAGUCCCUGUUCUGACUUUCAGAUCAAGUACCAAAUGUCCUCCUUUCAUUUUUCAUAAGAUUAACUUAGUGUGUAACAGGCUACCAACUGAAGUUUAGGUGUGACCCAAUGAAUUAAUUGAUUUUAAAAAUCUGAAAAUUGCUACUUGAAAUCUGUGCGCAUCAUUCCGUGUAGAAACUUACUAAUAUUUUCUAAUGAUUCAUCACUUUUGCCUAAAAAUAGAUCACUGCACUGCAAUGCCAAGUACAUUAGGAUUCUGGUUAUGAGAGUUUUAGAUCAGUGGUUUUUAAUCUUAUCAAAUUCAGUGCCCCCUUUUAUUAAAAAUUAUGUCUAACUUCUGUUUUAUGAGACUAAAGUGCAAGUCAUUAGUAAUAGAUACACCCGUACAAUUUUGGAUACCAUCAAUUCUCAAGAUCUAAUACGUGUGCAUGUGGGCUCAGUCAUGUCCAACUCUUUGCAACCCCAUGGACUGUAGCCUGCCAGGCUCCCCAGUCCAUAGGAUUUCCUAGGCAAGAAUACUACAUGUUCUUGCCUGGAGAAUCCCAGGGACAGGGGAGCCUGGUGGGCUGCUGCCCAUGGGGUCGCACAGAGUCGGACACGACUGAAGCAACUUAGCAGCAGCAGCAGCAGCAGCAGCAGCUUCAACCUGGGUGUUGGUUUCUCCCCAAUCUGAUUGUAUUCACAUCAAGUCAUGCAAAGCUCCAGGCUUCUCUCUUGAUUCAAAAGGAAAGCGUCCUGUACUGGAAACUAGCACCACACCCCAUAUGCUUUUCCAUAUGGUGAGGGAAUCCAAAUUUUUAAAAUAAUGGAUUGUUUCCUAACAUCUAACGGGUACUCUGGAUCCGGGUGACUGAAAACAUUUAAGCUUGGUGACAGCCCACUUAAAUCGCAUCGCAGAAGCUGAAAGAAACUCUAAAUCAUUAUUUGUCACAGGUGGAAGGGACAUUCAACAUCUGGUAGCCCGAACGCUUCUUUUCACAUGUGGUGGUGGUGGUGGUGGUUUAGUCGCUAAGUUGUAUCCGAUUUUUGCAACCCUACGGACUAUAGCCUGCCAGACUCCUGUCCAUGGGAUUUUUGCAGGCAAGAAUACUGGACUGGAUUGCCAUUUCCUUCUCCAGGGGAUCUUCCUGACCCAGAGAUUGAACCCACAUCUCCUGCAUUACAGGCAGGCUCUUGUAUUGCAAGCAGAUUCUUUAUACCUACAGAGCCACUACAUAUGGGGAACAAACCAAAGUCUAAAGAGGAGAGGUGACCUGUCUAAAGCCC
ensembl:lncRNA